rnacentral:rRNA from 1 species
UACAGAGGUCUCAAGCGUUAUUCGGAUUCAUUGGGCGUAAAGGGUGCGUAGGUGGCGAUGUAAGUCUGGUGUGAAAUCUCGGAGCUUAACUCCGAAACUGCAUUGGAUACUGCGUUGCUUGAGGAUUGUAGAGGAGAGUGGAAUUCACGGUGUAGCAGUGAAAUGCGUAGAUAUCGUGAGGAAGACCAGUUGCGAAGGCGACUCUCUGGGCAAUUCCUGACACUGAGGCACGAAGGCCAGGGGAGCAAACGGG